rnacentral:rRNA from 1 species
AACGAACGCUGGCGGCAGGCCUAACACAUGCAAGUCGAACGCACCGCAAGGUGAGUGGCGCACGGGUGAGUAACACGUGGGAAUGUACCCUUUGGUUCGGAAUAACGUUUGGAAACGAACGCUAAUACCGGAUGAGCCCUGCGGGGGAAAGAUUUAUCGCCAAAGGAGCAGCCCGCGUCUGAUUAGCUAGUUGGUGGGGUAAAGGCCUACCAAGGCGACGAUCAGUAGCUGGUCUGAGAGGAUGAUCAGCCACACUGGGACUGAGACACGGCCCAGACUCCUACGGGAGGCAGCAGUGGGGGAAUAUUGGACAAUGGGCGGCGAAGACCUCGAUCCAGCCAUGCCGCGUGAGUGAUGAAGG